UACGGAGGAUCCGAGCGUUAUCCGGAUUUAUUGGGUUUAAAGGGUGCGCAAGCGGGAGAUUAAGUCGGCGGUGAAAUUUUGCAGCUCAACUGUAAAAGUGCCAUCGAUACUGGUUUUCUUGAGUGUGGAUGAAGUAGGCGGAAUUUGUGGUGUAGCGGUGAAAUGCAUAGAUAUCACGAGGAACUCCGAUUGCGCAGGCAGCUUACUAGGCCAUAACUGACGCUCAGGCACGAAGGCGUGGGGAUCAAACAGGAUUAGA
rnacentral:rRNA from 1 species